rfam:Camelus ferus unplaced genomic scaffold scaffold2048, whole genome shotgun sequence.
GAGGGUAUAGCUCGGUGGUAGAGCAUAUGCCUAGCAAGCACAGGGUCCUGGGUUCAAGCCCCCGUACCUCCG